rnacentral:lncRNA from 1 species
ACCAAGUGAAGGUAACAUGUCAAGAUUCUCACACCCUUCUGGUAAUCCAAACUCUUUACAUGGAAAUUGAAGUUGAAUUAAUUGAAUGUGUAAACCAGAUUCAAUAUAACGUGCUAUGGUUGAUGUGUAACGUGAUGCAUUUUGUGGUGUGGUUACUAUUGUAACAUUAACAUUGUUAUGUUGUGCUAAGAUUUUUGCAAUAUCUAUCAUAGGAAUCAUGUGGCCUUGUGCCAUCAUUGGGAAUAAUACAAAAUGGAGUUUUUGAUUUUGGGAUGCCAUGUUUUGUAUAUAGUUGGAAGGAUUAUUGAUAUUGAUUAACUACGAUUGUAAGACAUAUUUAUAUACUAACUUUGUUCAUGAAUUUAAUUAAUCAUAUAUAUGUUUGUUUUAUGUUUUUGUCUAUUUCAUUUAACUUUUUGUACUAGCUAGGUGGCAACGCCAAAUUUUCUACCCUAUGCAAGAUUGAAGGUGACUUUUAUUGUAAANNNNNNNNNNNNNNNNNNNNNNNNNNNNNNNNNNNNNNNNNNNNNNNNNNNNNNNNNNNNNNNNNNNNNNNNNNNNNNNNNNNNNNNNNNNNNNNNNNNNNNNNNNNNNNNNNNNNNNNNNNNNNNNNNNNNNNNNNNNNNNNNNNNNNNNNNNNNNNNNNNNNNNNNNNNNNNNNNNNNNNNNNNNNNNNNNNNNNNNNNGGCAUAUGGCCUCAUAAAAAUGGGGGCUUAAAAAAAAUAUAGGUUAGUAGUGUUACUUAAUGACGAGUAUAAAACGAGGGAUUAUGGGCUUCCAAGUGAGGGGUUGUGAAAUCUAAAUAUUUGAGAUUAAGAGACCAAAGUAUCUAUCACUUGUGCGAGAAAUUCAUUUCUUGUAUGGUGAAGAAAUUCACUUCUAACUAAUCUUUCCAAGUUAAGAUUUCUAGAAAAAAGAUUGCCGUAAUAGAUACUUUUUGUUUGAGCGUGGUAGUUUUGGUUCACACACCAAUGCCUUUGUCAGCUUCACUAGAUCGAGAACCAAGCAUUAGGAUCUGCAAAUGCAAAAGCAAAUUCACAUCAAAUUCUAAGAGUUUUAUUGGAUAUAUAGUAUAUACCUAAUAAUCAAGUAUUUGAAGCUGUGUUAUUUUUUCUCAUACUUAAAUAUUUUUUAAAUAAUAUAAACUUUAUUAGAUUCAUUUUUCUCAUACUAAACAUUUUUUAUGGGCAUUAAAGAAUUCACCUUUAACUAAUCAUUUAAUUUUAACUAAGUGAUGAAUUAUUUAACAAGUGUAUUAAAUUGCCGUUUAAUAAUAAAUUCAUCUCCACAAAAAUUACUUAUUUCAACAAUUUAAUUAAAAUAAAUUUAGGAUCAAAGCAAUAAUUGGGGUGUGGGGGUUCAAAUUGUUAGAGUAAUAAGAAGCGUAAACGAAAUAGCAAGAAAAUAAAGCUUGUUAUUAUGAAAUACUGUAAGAUGAAAAAACGAUUAGGUUGCUUCAAAACUCUUUACUAUCACCUAACAAUAUGUAUCAGCGUCAACCAUUUUCUUUAUGUAAUUAAUGGGAAAAAAAUUAAAACUGUCAAAACUUACCGCAGCAAUUCACACUCCAUAAAAACAUAUGUAGGAUAAAGAUGGUCCAAUUGCUUAUCUUUUAGUAAAAUAUUAAUAAAUACAUCUGAAAAUAUUAGUAAACUAAAUAAAGUUAUUUUAAUUCUUGUGUAGUAAAGUUAUUUUACAAAAGGUUGGUUUUAAUUCAAAUAUAUUAUCAAUGAUUUUAAGAAAUUCUGUACACGUAUUUCACUACUAGAAAAAAAUAGAUCUGGGACAGAAAUUUGUGACGGAAAUAUUUUUCGUCCCGAAAUAUUUAAAUUGGGACGGAAUUUGCGACGCUUUUCACUAAGAAAUAUUUCUUUUUAAAUUUCUUUGGUCAGUUGGGACGGAAUUGAUAUUCCGUCUCCAAAUUGAGACGAAGUAAAAUAUUUGUCGCAAACUUGGGACUGAAUUUGUAUUUCCGUCUCAUAAUUAUUCCAAAAUUUAGUGAAAUUUAGUGAAAUAUUAAUGUAAAUAUUUGUUUAGAGUUUAUUUUUAAUGACUAUAAGAAACUCAUGAUAUAUAUUAGUUCAAGUAUUAGUGCAAAUAUUAGUUUGGCUUAAAUGCAGUUUUGCCCCCCCUAUUUUGAUUAAAUCGGAAUUUUACCCCCUGUUUUAAAACGCGGAUUUUUACCCCCCCUGUUUUAUAAUUUUUUGGAUUUUGCCCCCCCUAAAAUUCUGCUUUCGAGUCACAACUUCAAAGCUUCGUACACAACUCAAAUUGGAUCAAUAAUUCACCAAACGGAUAUCGAAAUGACCGUAAUCGAGUUAUCUUUCCACAAAAUCAAACCCCACUAAAUUUGGAGUUAUAAAGAGAGAUUAAUUACCAUUUUAGUGAAGGUAUGUCCCCCAAAAAUUCUGCACAAAAUCUGCUUUCAAGUCACAACUUCAAAACAUCGCACAGAAUUUCAUUUGAAUCCAUAAUUCACCAAACUAGUACCAAAAUGACCACAAUCGAGUUAUUUUUCCAUAGAAUCAAACUCCACUAAAUUUGGAGUUACAAAGAGAGAUUAAUUAUCAUUUUACUGAAGGUCUGUCCAAAUUACAGAGAGAGAUUAAUUAUUGUAUGGAACUACUACUGAUAUUUUUGUCUUGUCUCUCACCCUGUAGCUCAUUUUUCAAUAGUAUUUACAUGUCCGGAAAGCUAACGAAAUUACCCUUGUUGUCAUUUAAAUUUCGUCAAAUUUGGAGUUACGAUGUGUUUGGUAGACGAUGUCGAAUUUGAAGGUCAUAAGUAGAUUUCUGCAAAAUUAGUAAUUGGACAGACCUUCGCUAAAACUGUAAUUAAUCUCUCUUUGUAACUCCAAAUUUAGUGGGAUUUGAUUCUGUUGAAAGCUAACUCGAUUAUGGUCAUUUCGGUAUCCGUUUGGUGAAUUAUUGAUCCAAAUUGAGUUGUGUGCGAAGCUUUGAAGUUGUGACUCGAAAGCAGAUUUUGUGCAGAAUUUUGAGGGACAUACCUUCACUAAAACGGUAAUUAAUCUCUCUUUGUAACUCCGAAUUUAGCGAGGUUUGAUUCUGUGGAAAGAUAACUCGAUUACGGUCAUUUCGAUAUCCGUUUGGUGAAUUAUUGAUCUAAAUUGAGUUGUGUACGAAGCUUUGAAGUUGUGACUCGAAAGCAGAAUUUUAGGGGGGGCAAAAUACAAAAAAAAUUAUAAAACAGGGGGUAAAAGUCCGCGUUUUAAAACAGGGGGGGUAAAAUUUCGAUUUAAUCAAAACAGUGGGGCAAAACUGCAUUUAAGCCUAUUAGUUUAUAUUCUAUUAUUGAUGAUUUCAUUUCACUUUGUACAUGUACGUAGAGUAUUAUUUUAAGUUAUAUAGUUUAAUUUUAUAAUAAUUAACUUUGACUUUGUUCGUCCAAAAAUAACGCAUACCUAAUUGAAUUUAUAAUAUUGAGUAAAAUUAAUAUUGAGUAAAAUUAAUUGAACUAACAUAAAUAAAUAUCAACAUAACAUCUUAUUUGCUAAAAAAAAAUCUUAUUUGAACACAAUUUGACCAACAUAUAUUUUUACACCGUAUAUUAUUAUAUGUAAUAUAUUUUUCGUAUUUAAUUUGUAUAUUAAAAAAAAUUGUGGCCGCCCUAAACUAUUUUUUCUGAUUCCCUCACUGUUAGCGCCUACUUUUAACAAUCUCACAUGACCUCCAAAAGGUUGGAGAAGGCACUAAAUCCCGCUAGUAUUUUUGAAGGAAGGUUAAUAUCACUUUUGGCCUAUAUAUUUUUUUUUCAAGCCCCCAUUUUUAUUGGAAAGAUUAGUUAGAAGUGAAUUUCUUCACCAUACAAGAAAAUUAUUUCUUCCAUUUUCCCAUUAAAUGUUGAUCGGUGUGUUUGGUAAUUAGUAGGGCAUGAGGUAUUAAAUUAUGUGAAAGUUGAAGGGAACAAAUUAAUGUAUGUACUUUUUGAGGCACACCCCACACCAUGUGGUAGCAUAGUGAUAGUUUGUUGAAAAAGGGAAUAUGCAAGUGUUGUAGAUGUUUCAUGGCACCAGAGACACAAUUUUUUUUUUUACAAUGAGCUAAGAAUCGAGCUCAUGACCUAUAGCUUAUUAUCCAAACUUCUUAUCACUAGACUAAAUUUAGUGGCUUAGACACAAUUUUUGUUUGUUACCACUCCAUCAUGAUUUUUCAUUUUCUAUUUUUUUUUUCCUGCAAGGUAAACAUAUAGCACCUUCUUCUUACAAAAAAGUAUCAAUUCAAUAGCCUUUUCAUGCACUUAUAAGUUAUAACAUAACUUCAUGCGUACAUUAUGCAACAAUAGAAAAAGAACACAAAUAAUAACAACAAAAUGAUAAAGUCCCUGUGAGCUUAAUUCAGUUGAUAGGGAUAUCACAUUUUAUAUGCAGAGCCGGAGUUCGAACCUCAAACACUUCACUUAUUCAUCUUUAAGGUGGAUUUACUUUUCAGUAGACUACUUGACAAAAAAAAAUAACAACAAAAGGACAUACGUUAUUUAAAUUGAGCAUAUAUCUCUUCAAGUUUCAACAUUGGUACAUGUUGUUGCAUGGAAUCUUGGAUAAGCAAAGUCAAAUUAAAAUGACAUGAUCCACAUUUUCAACAAUUUUCUUUGCCAACACUACAAACCUUAUAAUUUAUUUCAGCAUCAUACAUUUUCUCCGCAAUUUCCUUCAACUCUUCGGUUCCUGUUCCUUCAAACAUAUCCUUACUUUUUUGUAUGAUAUCUUGGAUGAACAAAGUAAAAUUAGAAUGAGAAGUUCCAUCUUUUUCUAUAGCCUUUUUAGCCAUCUUACCAAGCUCUCUAAUCUUUUUUCUUAUUUCUUCACUUUCACUUGACUCAUCCAUUAAUCUUUCAAUUCCUCUAAUGAUAUCUUCCUUCUUCACUAUCACACUACUUUGUUCUUCCUCACCCCAUUUCAUAGGACUCUCCACCCCAAUUUUCACACCAACUUUUAAUAUUUGCACAACAAAACUUUCGUUCAAAAAUUGAUCGGCAAAAAGUGGCCAUGUAACCAUUGGAACACCGGCACAUAUUGCUUCAAUAGUAGAAUUCCAUCCACAAUGUGUCAAGAAUCCUCCAGUUGCAGAAUGUGACAAUAUCAAUAACUGAGGUGCCCAACCCUUAAUUACUAGGCCUCUACCAUUGAUUCUCCCCUCAAAUCCACUUUCAUCAAUCCAUUUUUUCAACUCUUCUAAUUGAUUUCCAUCUCUUAUAACCCAAAUAAAAGGUCUUUUUGUAGCUUCUAAUGCUAAACCAAGCUCUAUCAUUUGUGUUGAUGUUAUAUUACAUAAACUUCCAAGGCUUGCAUAGAUAACACUCCCUUGUUUCUGAGAAUCAAGCCACUUCAUGUGCUUCCAUUCAUCAAUUGAAUCCUUAUUGUCAUUACCUCUUUGAAACUUAUCCAAAUAAUCAGUGUUACUGAGUGAAACAGGACCAAUACACCAAACCUUAUCAUUUUUUACCUUGUUAUAUUCCCUUGCAUAUGUUGGUUCCAAUUCUUCAAAAGAAUUCAUGAUUAUCCCAUAAGUACCCAUUUCAGCUUCAAUCACAUCAUCAUUAAAUUGCUUCCAAGCUUCACCCUUAUAUCCUAUUCCUGCUUGAGCUAUGGUCAUUUCGAUUUUGUCAGGUAUACCAGGUAAAACAAAGUACUCAGAUUCUUUAUUAGCCAUAAUUUCAUUCAUAUUCGCGACAUAUAAAUUAUGCACAAUCAAGAGAUAAAAGCAACUUGAUCCAACAAAAGAAAUUCUUGGAAUAUUGAAUUUUCUAGCUAUAUGGAUUGUAUAUGGCAAACACAUAUCUGAAAUUAUGCAUGUUGGUGAUGGUGUUAACUCUUCAAAUAGCUUUUCAACUUCUUGUUGUAGAAAUUUUGAAGCAAUGAAGAAGUUUGAGGCUGUGCCAAGUGAAGGUAACAUGUCAAGAUUCUCACACCCAUCUGGUAAUCCAAACUGUUUACAUGGAAAUUGGAGUUGGAUUACUUGAAUGUCAAGAUAACGUGCUAGAAUUGAUGAGAAACGUGAUGCAUUUUGUGGAGUGGUUACUAUUGUAACAUUAACAUUGCUAUGUUGUGACAAUAUUUUUGCAAUGUCCAUCAUGGGAUUCAU